rnacentral:misc_RNA from 1 species
GAUGAAGAACGCAGCGAAAUGCGAUAAGUAAUGUGAAUUGCAGAAUUCAGUGAAUCAUCGAAUCUUUGAACGCACAUUGCGCCCGCCAGUAUUCUGGCGGGCAUGCCUGUCUGAGCGUCAUUUCAACCCUCAUUCCCCUAGGGCGUGGUGUUGGGGAUCGGCCAAAGCCCGCGAGGGACGGCCGGCCCCUAAAUCUAGUGGCGGACCCGUCGUGGCCUCCUCUGCGAAGUAGUGAUAUUCCGCAUCGGAGAGCGACGAGCCCCUGCCGUUAAACCCCCAACUUUCCAAGGUUGACCUCAGAUCAGGUAGGAAUACCCGCUGAACUUAAGCAUAUCAUAAGCGGAGGA